rnacentral:rRNA from 1 species
CAGUAGCCGCGGUAAUACCAGCAGCCCAAGUGGUGGUCGCGUUUAUUGGGCCUAAAGCGCUCGUAGCCUGACCGGUAAGUUCCCCGUGAAAUCGGGUCGCCCAACGAUUCGGCUUGCGGGGAAUACUGUCGGUCUUGGGGCCGGGAGACGCCGAGGGUACUCCGGGGGUAGCGGUGAAAUGCUGUAAUCCUCGGGGGACUACCAGUGGCGAAGGCGCUCGGCGAUAACGGGCCUGACGGUGAGGGGCGAAAGCUGGGGGCGCGAACGGGAUUAGAUACCCCAGUAGUCCCUGUCUCUUAUU